AUUGAACGCUGGCGGCAGGCCUAACACAUGCAAGUCGAGCGAGCGGCGGACGGGUGAGUAAUAUAUAGGGACUGACCGAUAGGGGGGGGUCACUACUGGAAACGGUGGCUAAUACCCCAUCUUGUCGGCUAAACCAUAUGGGCUUAGCUGGUAGGUAAGGUAAUGGCUUACCUAGGCGACGAUGCCUAGCUGGUCUGAGAGGAUGAUCAGCCACACUGGGACUGAGACACGGCCCAGACUCCUACGGAGGCAGCAGUGGGGAAUAUUGCACAAUGGGCGCAAGCCUGACACAGCAAGGCCGCGUGUAUGAAGAAGGUCCUAGGGUUGUAAAGUACUUUCAUUCGGGAGGCGUUACCUACAGAAGAAGCACCGGCUAACUCCGUGCCAGCAGCCGCGGUAAUUC
rnacentral:rRNA from 1 species